rnacentral:rRNA from 1 species
UAUCUCUAGUUGCCAGCGAUUCGGUCGGGGACUCUAGAGAGUACUGCCCCGGUUAACGGGAGGAAGGUGGGGAUGACGUCAAGUCCUCAUGGCCCUUAUGCCCAGGGCUACACACGUGCUACAAUGGGCGGUACAAAGGGUAGCGAUGCCGCGAGGCGAAGCCAAUCCCAAAAAGCCGUCCUCAGUUCGGAUUGGAGUCUGCAACUCGACUCCAUGAAGCCGGAAUCGCUAGUAAUCGCGGAUCAGCAUGCCGCGGUGAAUACGUUCCCGGGCCUU